UGACCCCUAAGGGCUUUGUAUUCAAUGAAAAGGAAAAACCCAACACCAAACCUAGCAACACAACAUAAUGCCUAUAUCUCAUGGGGAAUCAUCACAGCGAGGAGCUUAGAUCAUUGAUCACUUAUUUAGUUUGAGUUUUGUGGAUGGUCUAAUAUUCUCUCCAACCUUCAGUUCAAAAUGGCCUGAGUUAAUAUUCUCUCCAACCUUCAGUUCAAAAUGGCCUGAGUUCUAUCAAGCAUGGCUGGGACGAGUACAAGCGGCAGACUGUUCUACCUGCAAGUGUAGCU
rnacentral:lncRNA from 1 species